rnacentral:tRNA from 1 species
GGCGGGAUGCCAGAGCGGCUGAUUGGGGUGGUUUCGAAAACCAUUAUACUUGAAAGAGUAUCGGAGGUUCAAAUCCUCCUCCCGCCG